rnacentral:rRNA from 1 species
CGAAGGAUGCAAGCGUUAUCCGGAUUCAUUGGGUUUAAAGGGAGCGUAGGUGGACUGAUAAGUCAGUGGUGAAAUCUCUGGGCUUAACCCAGAAAUUGCCAUUGAUACUGUUGGUCUUGAGUACAGUUGCUGUGGGCGGAAUAUGACAUGUAGUGGUGAAAUACAUAGAGAUGUCAUAGAACACCGAUUGCGAAGGCAGCUCACAAAGCUGUAACUGACACUGAGGCUCGAAAGUGCGGGGAUCAAACAGGAUUAGAUACCCUGGUAGUCCGCACUGUAAACGAUGAUUACUCGCUGCUAGAUGGCAACAUUUAGUGGCUUAGCGAAAGCGAUAAGUAAUCCACCUGGGGAGUACGCCGGCAACGGUG